rnacentral:rRNA from 1 species
UACGGGGGGGGCAAGCGUUGUUCGGAAUUACUGGGCGUAAAGGGCUCGUAGGCGGCCAACUAAGUCAGACGUGAAAUCCCUCGGCUUAACCGGGGAACUGCGUCUGAUACUGGAUGGCUUGAGUUUGGGAGAGGGAUGCGGAAUUCCAGGUGUAGCGGUGAAAUGCGCAGAUAUCAGGAGGAACACCGGUGGCGAAGGCGGGUCUCUGGGCCGUAACUGACGCUGAGGAGCGAAAGCGUGGGGAGCGAACAGG